rnacentral:rRNA from 1 species
AACGAACGCUGGCGGCAGGCCUAACACAUGCAAGUCGAGCGAGACCUUCGGGUCUAGCGGCGGACGGGUGAGUAACGCGUGGGAAUAUGCCCUUUGGUACGGAAUAGCCUCGGGAAACUGAGAGUAAUACCGUAUGUGCCCUUCGGGGGAAAGAUUUAUCGCCAAAGGAUUAGCCCGCGUUGGAUUAGGUAGUUGGUGGGGUAAUGGCCUACCAAGCCUACGAACCAUAGCUGGUUUGAGAGGAUGAUCAGCCACACUGGGACUGAGACACGGCCCAGACUCCUACGGGAGGCAGCAGUGGGGAAUCUUAGACAAUGGGGGCAACCCUGAUCUAGCCAUGCCGCGUGAGUGAUGAAGGCCUUAGGGUUGUAAAGCUCUUUCAGCUGGGAAGAUAAUGACGGUACCAGCAGAAGAAGCCCCGGCUAACUCCGUGCCAGCAGCAGCCGCAGUAA